rnacentral:rRNA from 1 species
CCUACGGGGGACAGCAGUGGGGGAUAUUGCACAAUGGGGGGAACCCUGAUGCAGCGACGCCGCGUGGGUGAAGAAGCGCCUCGGCGCGUAAAGCCCUGUCAGCAGGGAAGAAAAUGACGGUACCUGAAGAAGAAGCCCCGGCUAACUACGUGCCAGCAGCCGCGGUAAUACGUAGGGGGCAAGCGUUAUCCGGAUUUACUGGGUGGAAAGGGGGCGCAGACGGCGAUGCAAGCCAGGAGUGAAAGCCCGGGGCCCAACCCCGGGACUGCUCUUGGAACUGCGUGGCUGGAGUGCAGGAGGGGCAGGCGGAAUUCCUGGUGUAGCGGUGAAAUGCGUAGAUAUCAGGAGGAACACCGGUGGCGAAGGCGGCCUGCUGGACUGCAACUGACGUUGAGGCCCGAAAGCGUGGGGAGCAAACAGGAUUAGAUACCCCAGUAGUC